UUGGAUGUAAUGGUUUUUCGAGGGCUA
rnacentral:piRNA from 1 species